GAUGAACGCUGGCGGCGUGCCUAAUACAUGCAAGUCGAGCGAACGGACGAGAAGCUUGCUUCUCUGAUGUUAGCGGCGGACGGGUGAGUAACACGUGGAUAACCUACCUAUAAGACUGGGAUAACUUCGGGAAACCGUAGCUAAUACCGGAUAAUAUUUUGAACCGCAGGGUUCAAAAGUGAAAGACGGUCUUGCUGUCACUUAUAGAUGGAUCCGCGCUGCAUUAGCUAGUUGGUAAGGUAACGGCUUACCAAGGCAACGAUGCAUAGCCGACCUGAGAGGGUGAUCGGCCACACUGGAACUGAGACACGGUCCAGACUCCUACGGGAGGCAGCAGUAGGGAAUCUUCCGCAAUGGGCGCAAGCCUGACGGAGCCACGCCGCGUGAGUGAUGAAGGUCUUCGGAUCGUAAAGCUCUGUUAUUAGGGAAGAACAUAUGUGUAAGUAACUGUGCCCAUCUUGACGGUACCUAAUCAGAAAGCCCCGGCUAACUACGUG
rnacentral:rRNA from 1 species